rnacentral:rRNA from 1 species
GACGAACGCUGGCGGCGUGCCUAAUACAUGCAAGUCGAGCGAUUCUCAUCGGAGAAGAGCGGCGGACGGGUGAGUAACGCGUGGGUAACCUGCCCUGUACACACGGAUAACAUACCGAAAGGUAUGCUAAUACGAGAUAAUAUGCUUUUAUCGCAUGGUAGAAGUAUCAAAGCUUUUGCGGUACAGGAUGGACCCGCGUCUGAUUAGCUAGUUGGUAAGGUAACGGCUUACCAAGGCGACGAUCAGUAGCCGACCUGAGAGGGUGAUCGGCCACAUUGGAACUGAGACACGGUCCAAACUCCUACGGGAGGCAGCAGUGGGGAAUAUUGCACAAUGGGCGAAAGCCUGAUGCAGCAACGCCGCGUGAGCGAUGAAGGCCUUCGGGUCGUAAAGCUCUGUCCUCAAGGAAGAUAAUGACGGUACUUGAGGAGGAAGCCCCGGCUAACUACGUGCCAGCCGCCGCCGUAA